ACUCCUACGGGAGGCAGCAGUGGGGAAUCUUGGACAAUGGGCGCAAGCCUGAUCCAGCCAUGCCGCGUGAGUGAUGAAGGCCCGUAGGGUCGUAAAGCUCUUUCGCCAGAGAUGAUAAUGACAGUAUCUGGUAAACGAAACCCCGGCUAACUCCGUGCCAGCAGCCGCGGUAAUACGGAGGGGUUAGCGUUGUUCGGAAUUACUGGGCGUAAAGCGUACGCAGGCGGAUUAGUUAGUCAGAGGUGAAAUCCCAGGGCUCAACCCUGGAACUGCCUUUGAUACUGCUAGUCUUGAGUUCGAGAGAGGUGAGUGGAAUUCCGAGUGUAGAGUGAAAUUCGUAGAUAUUCGGAGGAACACCAGUGGCGAAGGCGGCUCACUGGCUCGAUACUGACGCUGAGGUACGAAAGUGUGGGAGCAAACAGGAUUAGAUACCCGUGGUAGGAUAGCG
rnacentral:rRNA from 1 species